UACGUAGGGGGCAAGCGUUGUCCGGAAUCAUUGGGCGUAAAGAGCGUGUAGGCGGCCCGGUAAGUCCGCUGUGAAAGUCCAGGGCUCAACCCUGGGAUGCCGGUGGAUACUGUCGGGCUCGAGUCCGGAAGAGGCGAGUGGAAUUCCUGGUGUAGCGGUGAAAUGCGUAGAUAUUGGGAGGAACACCAGUGGCGAAGGCGGCUCACUGGACUGGUACUGACGCUGAGGCGCGAAAGCGUGGGGAGCAAACAGG
rnacentral:rRNA from 1 species